CCUUGGGCAAAUAUUGUAAUUUCCCACAAAUAAAUACAGAUAGAGAGGAAAGAGAUUGCAAGCUGGACACAUUGUGGUCCGCCAGAGAUAUCAAAUUGGAGCAGAAGCUGACACGCAAACGGGUUAGAGAUGUGCAGUAUGCAAGCCCACUCGGUAGACUUAUUAAUCCAUCACAUCCCAAAAUAUCCAAAUUAGUGAGGGACGUGAGGUUGUCUAAACUGGGAAUAGCCUCUAGAUUAGGGCAAUGAUGGACACGCAAAGAGGUAAGAGAUGUGCAGUAUGCAAGCCCACUCGGUAGACUUAUUAAUCCAUCACAUUGAAAAAUAGUCAAAAUAGUAAGAGAUGUGCAGUAUGCAAGCCCACUCGGUAGACUUAUUAAUCCAUCACAAUCCAUAAUAAUCAACUCAGUGAGGGACGUGAGGUUGUCUAAACUGGGAAAAGCCUCUAGAUUAGGGCAAUUCCGUAUUUCCAUCUUCUCAAGAGAGACGGGGGUUUGUAGCCCAUGACCCGACAAAGUCCUCAAAUUUCGACAAUCUGAGAUAUAUAGUGUGCG
rnacentral:lncRNA from 1 species